CCGACAAUACAACAACAUAAGGCAUUGUGAAACACAAAUUACAGGGAAAAUGAACAAAUUAUACACAGUAUGCACAAAAUAACAGAAAGCAUGAUCAAUUCUUA
rnacentral:lncRNA from 1 species